GUGCUCUCUUGGGCAGCACUUAUACUAAAAUUGGAAUGAUACAGAGAAGAUUAGCAUGGCCUCUGUGCAAGGGUGACAUGCAAAUUCAUAAAACCCCUGCUUGUGUUA
ensembl:snRNA U6 U6 spliceosomal RNA